rnacentral:rRNA from 1 species
CACAUGCAAGUCGAACGCUCUCCUCGGAGAGAGUGGCUCCACGGGUGAGUAACGCGUGGGAAUCUACCCAGUACUACGGAACAACACAGAGAAAUUUGUGCUAAUACCGUAUACGCCCUCCGGGGGAAAGAUUUAUCGGUAUUGGAUGAGCCCGCGUUUGAUUAGCUAGUUGGUGAGGUAACGGCUCACCAAGGCGACGAUCAAUAGCUGGUCUGAGAGGACGAUCAGCCACACUGGGACUGAGACACGGCCCAGACUCCUACGGGAGGCAGCAGUGGGGAAUAUUGGUCAAUGGGCGCAAGCCUGAACCAGCCAUGCCGCGUGUGUGAUGAAGGCCCUAGGGUUGUAAAGCACUUUCAACGGUGAAGAUAAUGACGGUAACCGUAGAAGAAGCUCCGGCUAACUUCGUGCCAGCAGCCGCGGUAAUACGAAGGGAGCUAGCGUUGUUCGGAAUUACUGGGCGUAAAGCGCGCGUAGGCGGGCUAUUAAGUUAGAGGUGAAAUCCCGGGGCUCAACCCCGGAACUGCCUUUGAUACUGGUAGUCUAGAGUUCGAGAGAGGUGAGUGGAAUUCCGAGUGUAGAGGUG